rnacentral:lncRNA from 1 species
UUGAAAUAAAUGAGCACAAGCAAUGAAGGAACGAUCGAUCACAACAUCAAGGGAUCGAUCGAUCACAACAACAAGGAAAUGACCGAUCGUUCACAACAAGGGAUCGAUCAAUCUAUCCACUAGAACAAUCGGUCUCUAGGCACACUGUGCAAAGUUCGGGUCAAAGUUAUCAAGACCGAAGCUUGUGCAAAGUUCGGGUCAUUCAUGAAGUUAUCAAGAUGUGCAAAGUUCGGGUCAUCACCAAGAUGUGCAAAACCGGGGUUUAAUCACCAAAGAAGAAUGUGCAAAGUUCGGGUCAAUCUUGAAGAUGAAGAUGUGCAAAUCUAGGGUCAACAACAAGAUGAUAAAGAAUGUGCAAAUCUAGGGUCGAUAAACGAAGUGAAGAAGUCCCUAGAUUCAAAUGUGUUUAGGCGCCAAAAGAGGAGUCACAUGUGUGAGGAAGCAAUGCAAGUUGCAAGGAGCCACAUGUGAGUUUAAAAGGGACGUUGGGAGCUGUCACUAUCAUCUUGGACGAGCCCCUCUCUCCCCAAAGUCACAUGUUGCAUUUAGAAGAAGAAACAAGUGGGAAGAAGUCACAUGUUGCUUCUAAGGGGCCACUUGAGAGAUGUCACUCUCUCCUUUAGUAUUUGUCAUCAAUAUACAUUCAAAAGUGUAUAAGUGAAUGUAUAUGUGACCGUUGCUCACUAGGUUUUAGAAGGGAUACUCUUAUCCCAUUCAUUUUUGUAUAAAUAUGUAAGCUUCACAUUAAUAAAGUUAAGUUCUCUUUUGGGAUGUCUUCCCUCUUCUAAAAUCGUGUUCUAUACUUCAAAAUGGGUAGUUUAGAUUGAUCUAUUCUCAUGGAGAGCCCAAGCCUUGGCAAUGCUUGGUCUCUACCAUUUUUCAAUUCUAUUCUUCACCAUUCUCUCUAAACGAUUCUAUAAGGGGUUUUGGGUUCU